AUGUCAAUGGCGUUGUCGUUCUUGCUUCCAGCGCUGCUGCUAGCGGCGUUGCCAACCAUCCCGAUCGCCGGUCAGACCUUGAAGCCAAGCUGUCAGGCGAGCUGCCGCGGCGUCGACAUCCCCUACCCCUUCGGUAUCGGCCCCGGCUGCUUCCGCGAGGGCUUCGAGAUCACCUGCAACGACGACGGCGGCGGCAGCCCCGUCCUGCCGCUUCUUGCCAACACGACCAUCAAGGUCGUGCACCUCUCCAUCGAUACCGCCGAGCUGCAGGUAAUGCUUCCCAUCGGGUUCCAGUGCUACAGCUCCCGCCAGGAUGGCGCCCACGUCUCCAGCUACGGCGGAUUGUGGGGGAUGCACGGCGACGGCGUGUACCGCAUCUCCAACACGCGGAACAUGUUCGUCGUCCUCGGGUGCAUGACCAUGGGCAUGGCGUCAAGCAGGCGCAUCGCCGAGCCAGGUAGCGGGGGCCCCUGGACAAGCCUAUACGGCUUCCACACAGGCUGCAUGUCCUACUGCAAUGGCCCCGCGAGCAUGCGGGACGGCGUGUGCGCCGGCGUCGGGUGCUGCCACGUCGACAUCCCGCCGGGGCUCACUGACGGUCUGUUUAGGUUCGACGAUCUGAACCACUCCAAGGUGGUUGACUACAGCCCAUGCGACUUCGCCUUCCUCGUCGACAAGACCAAUUACACCUUCCGGCGGUCGGAUCUAUUAAAGCCGAUCAGAGAUGUAGUGGAUUGGACCGUGCCGGUGUGGCUGGACUGGGCUAUCCGCGACUACGGGAGCGUCCCCGCUGCAUCCUGUGCCGACGCGGCCAAGUCAACAGCCGCGGAGUACGCCUGCAAGAGCUCUCUCGGUGUGUGCGUCAUGAGCUCCACCAAUGGGACUGGCUACACCUGCAAGUGCGGCAAUGGCUACGAGGGCAACGCCUACCUUCCCGAAGGAUGUACUGAUAUCAAUGAAUGUGAUUUUCCGGAUAAGUAUCAUUGUGACGGCAAUUGCGAAAACAUACCAGGAGAUUACAAAUGCAGAUGUCGACCAGGUUAUCAGAGCGACGACCCAAAAAGUAUUCCCUGCAUUCCAAGGUUCCCCCUUGCAGCACAGGUUGCCAUAGGCACCAUCUUGAGUCUGUCAUUCCUGGCUAUUGCCCUACUUAUGACACUCCUAAUGCUGCAAAAGAAGAGAAUGAGAGAAUAUUUCAAGAAGAAUGGGGGCUUGAUACUGAAAAAUGUGGAAACCUUACAGAUUUUCACGAAGGAGGAAAUAAAUAAAAUCACACAUAACCAUUCAGAGUUUCUUGGCAAAGGGGCCUUUGGUGAAGUCUAUAAAGGAUAUCUUCCUGAUGAUGCCAUGGUAGCAGUCAAGUCCUUUAUCCAGGUGAAGGAAACUACAAUGGAAGAAUUUACCAAGGAAGUAUUGAUCCAAUCGAAGAUGAUUCACAAGAAUAUUCUCAAGCUCUACGGUUGUUGCUUGGAGGUGGAUGUUCCAAUGCUAGUGUAUGAGUUUGCUGCUAAAGGGAGUCUGGGAGACAUUCUCCAUCUCAAUGAAAACCAAAAACUCCCCAUAGACUUGCGUUUGGAUAUUGCUAUUGGAUCUGCAGAGGGGUUGAAAUACAUGCACUUGUACGCAUCUCAAUCCAUACGACAUGGUGAUGUCAAACCGGACAACAUACUUCUAGAUGGUGAGUUAGUACCAAAGAUCUCAGACUUUGGCUUAUCAAAAAUGCUUAAAGUCGAUGAAUAUUUCACCAAGAUUGUGGUUGGGUGCAUGGGUUACAUAGAUCCCGUCUUCAUCAAAACCGGCCUCUUAACACAAAAGAGUGAUGUUUACAGCUUUGGAGUCGUUCUAUUGGAACUUAUUACCAGGAGAAAAAUUGUAUACGAUGAAAAUUGUAGCCUCAUCAUGGAGUUCCGCAAAGUUUAUGUGAAAGAUAAGAGUGGAAGGGCAAUGUUUGAUAAGGAGAUUGUAACUGAAGAAGAUAUCUUGGUCGUAGAAGAAAUCGGGAAACUAGCAAUUGAAUGUCUCGAGGAAGAUGUAGAAGACCGGCCAGAUAUGGGGGAGGUAGCACAAAGACUCGUGAUGCUUAGGAGAAACAAGAAGCAUGGUAAAGCACGUCCACAUCCCUUCCAGGCUAAUCAGUAUGAUAAAUGGUACGGCCAACAAGAAUGUACUGACCUCAACGGAAAUGACGAGGCCGCGUUUUUAUUUGCUAAUCCAUAG
rnacentral:rRNA from 1 species